rnacentral:tRNA from 1 species
GCCCCGAUAGUGUAGUUCGGUCAAUCAUUCCGGCUUUUCGAGCCGGGGACCUGGGUUCGAAUCCCAGUCGGGGCG